AGCUUUGCACAGUGGCAGUAUCGUAGCCAAUGAGGUUUAUCCGAGGCGCGAUUAUUGCUAAUUAAAACGUUAUACUUUCUGGAGCACCUGGGUGGUGCAGUCGGUUACACAUCUGAUUCUUGGUUUCAGCUCAGGUCC